GGGUGAAUGAUGAAGACACCAUGCAGUCCAGCCUGUUUUUCCAAAGAAAAUGAUGCGUAGCUCUACUGAGAACUUGCAGAGUGCUGCAUGGUGUAGCGGAGAGCUUGCACUUCAGGAGAAAGUUCU
rnacentral:lncRNA from 12 species